UCCUUGGGGACCACAAACAGGAGUUGUGCACCUGCCAUGGUAAGAACACCCUGUCACUACUGUUUACUGCUCCUUCUGUGUGCACUGGCAGCAGCUCCUGC